UACGGAGGGGGCUAGCGUUGUUCGGAAUUACUGGGCGUAAAGCGCACGUAGGCGGCUUUGUAAGUUAGAGGUGAAAGCCCGGGGCUCAACUCCGGAAUUGCCUUUAAGACUGCAUCGCUAGGAUUGUGGAGAGGUAAGUGGAAUUCCGAGUGUAGAGGUGAAAUUCGUAGAUAUUCGGAAGAACACCAGUGGCGAAGGCGGCUCACUGGACCGGUAUUGACGCUGAGGUGCGAAAGCGUGGGGAGCAAACAGG
rnacentral:rRNA from 1 species